rnacentral:rRNA from 1 species
AUUGAACGCUGGCGGCAUGCUUUACACAUGCAAGUCGAACGGUAACAGGGAGCUUGCUCCGCUGACGAGUGGCGAACGGGUGAGUAAUGCAUCGGAACGUACCCAGUCGUGGGGGAUAACGUAGCGAAAGUUACGCUAAUACCGCAUACGUCCUGAGGGAGAAAGCGGGGGACCGUAAGGCCUCGCGCGAUUGGAGCGGCCGAUGUCGGAUUAGCUAGUUGGUAGGGUAAAGGCCUACCAAGGCGACGAUCCGUAGCGGGUCUGAGAGGAUGAUCCGCCACACUGGGACUGAGACACGGCCCAGACUCCUACGGGAGGCAGCAGUGGGGAAUUUUGGACAAUGGGGGCAACCCUGAUCCAGCCAUGCCGCGUGAGUGAAGAAGGCC